UUUGUCCAGAACUACCUAGCCAAUCUCUAUUCAUUCUUCAGAUCUUCUUAUCUCCCUGGCUAGGUGUCCUUUUAUUGUGCAGCAAAAGAGCCUUGUGAUUGAUCCUGCAAAACAUAUCAUUUUUAUAUUGAAAUGACCUCUUUUUUAUGCCCCAUCUCUACUUGUGCCUGAGGGCACUAUGAACAGGAACUUGGCCUUGCAAACCACUGAGCUCCCUUGUCCACUGCAAUGUCUGGUAUAGAAUGAGCAUGGAAAACACUGAGAUGGCAAGUCUAAAGCCUUGGGAGGAAGCCAAUACAAAUUGUUAUAGAUAACACUAUCUGAAUUUAACUGCCAUAGUGGAGUUUUGAAGUCCUCAACAAAAAUUUUGUAUUAUUGAACAUCUAUGGAUGUGCUGGGAACUGUGUGUAAUACCCUAAGAUACAGAGGAUACAGAGGUGAGCAAGAUGUUAUCUGUACUCUGGGGAAUCUACUUGUGGUUAGUACGGAGAGGAAGAUAAAGAAAAAAAUGACAGAUUUUGUUUUUAAGGGCGUAUUUUCUUUAAUAGGAUGUAUGUAAAAAUUAACAUGUUUUUGUGCCAAAGAUGUGAAGAUAUUGACAUUCCCAAAAUGCAAACAUAAUUCUGCACUAUAACUUAUUUUUUUACAUAGCAUUAUUAAGGUACAAUUUACAUAGCAUAAAAUCUAUCCAUUUGAAGUGUAUACAAUUGUGAUGCUUUUUAGUGAAUUUUCAGUCAGGCUACCAUCACCACCAUCCAGUUUUAUAAUACUUUUCUCACAUCAAAGAGUUUCCUUGUGUACUUUUGCAGCCCCUGUUCACAAUCCCAGCUCCAAGCAACCACUCAGAUGCUUUAUAUCUCUUUAGGAUUGAUUUUCUUUUUCUAGAAAUUACAUAAAAAUGCAAAGAUACAUAAUGUAGGCUAUAACAUCUGGAGUUUUGUUAAAAUUUUUUUCGUGUUUCUCAGCUUCUGUUUUGCUAGGAAAACUGUACUUCAGAUGGCAUUUUGAAAUAUGGAAGAUGCCUUUUGACUAAUAACUUUCAGGGUACCAACUUGAACUUGGGUAGCCUGGCCAAGAAACCCACCAAAAAUCUUCAGAGAAGAAACAAUGGAGGUGUAGGAGUUCGAAAUCAGGUGAUAGAACCACAUCAUUAAACCUACCAUUCAAAACCCUUAUCAAGAUGUUGGAAAUUUAAAAAUGACUUAUGCAUGGAUGUGGUGCCCAAGAAGCAGACAGAAACCAAAGGGUGUUUCUAUAUGCCUUCCAGUAGGAAUGAAAAAACGGAAGUUGUCUCUGCUCUUAGAAGAUGGUUAAGGAAAAAGUGAAACCUGAAACUAAGGAAACAAAAGUUUAGACAAGAUAAUCCCAACAUCAGAGAGAACAUUUGUCAUUGUCAGAACUCCAAAGAGCAAUAAAGCUUUAAUCCAUUUCAUGG